UAUUGUCAAUACCAUGACUUUUAGAUUAACUAUCCAAGAUGACUAUGAGAAGUUACUAACUCAUGAUAUUAAUGUCCAGUUCCUUCAAGUACUGGCCCCAGGUGUUGUUCAUCCUAAUUGCUCCUCUAACAAGACUGGUAGUGCCACUAAUGUGUAUCCUUCAGCUGGUACUCCUUCUGGUGACAAAAUCACUUGCCGAUGGGGUGGGCAUUAAUAAGAGUUUCAAAAUGGAUUUGGGACUUGUCUGGUAGACGGUGGAUUCACUGCAUCACUUCUUAUAUCCAGAUGGUUGUCAGUUGUAUGCUCCUGAGAGGGAGCCAGCCUGUGUUCCUCUUGUCCUUACUAAUAUCCUUAAAUUUAAGGAUAUUAGUAAUUGGUACUUGUACUUAUGCAAUGGCUAUCAAGUUCACACGUCCAUUCUUCAUUGAAAAGCCCAGUGAUGUUAGGUGUGGUCAUUAUAAUCUCCUCCCCUGGACAGGCUGUAUGAGUAGUCUAUCAGGUAUGGACACAUGUA